rnacentral:rRNA from 1 species
GAUGAACGCUGGCGGCGUGCCUAAUACAUGCAAGUCGAGCGAACAGACGAGGAGCUUGCUCCUCUGACGUUAGCGGCGGACGGGUGAGUAACACGUGGAUAACCUACCUAUAAGACUGGGAUAACUUCGGGAAACCGGAGCUAAUACCGGAUAAUAUAUUGAACCGCAUGGUUCAAUAGUGAAAGACGGUUUUGCUGUCACUUAUAGAUGGAUCCGCGCCGCAUUAGCUAGUUGGUAAGGUAACGGCUUACCAAGGCAACGUUCCGUAGCCGACCUGAGAGGGUGAUAGGCCACACUGGAACUGAGACACGGUCCAGACUCCUACGGGAGGCAGCAGUAGGGAAUCUUCCGCAAUGGGCGAAAGCCUGACGGAGCAACGCCGCGUGAGUGAUGAAGGUCUUCGGAUCGUAAAACUCUGUUAUUAGGGAAGAACAAAUGUGUAAGUAACUAUGCACGUCUUGACGGUACCUAAUCAGAAAGCCACGGCUAACUACGUG